GAACGGAAGUGCGCGUCGUGUUAAAUAGAUUAAAACAACAAAAAGUAGUACAGAAAAGUUAAAACAGUGAUCGAAAAAUCGUAAAGCGAUCAAAUAAAAACACAAAAAAAGUACGGUUAGUAAGGAAAAAAUGUUUGGGACGAAAAACGAUAAAAUUUAAUUUAUGUAUUUUGUGCUAUGUAAUUCAUUUAUACAGUUACCUAAACAAAACGUUAACAAACAUACAACAAACAUUGUAACAAAAGUGUGACGAAAAACAACAUAAAAAGGUCCAAGAGGGCCUUUUUUUUGUUCUUUUGGCUUUUCUAUCAGAGCACGGCGCCCCGGAGUAUUGUUACUGAAUCCCAAAACCGGAGUAAUCCAGACAGAAAGGAAUUGUCUGACACCGCUUCAGACCCGACGGCAAAAGGUCUACCGACAACAGCAUCAUCGGAAAUUGGCCAGUAGUUUUCAACUGUCGUUUAUUGGUCCUUCCGGGACGCCGGAAGUGGACCGGUGAAACAUUGGCCUGUUCCGAACCUACGAAGCUGCUCGCCGUGAAUCAACAAAAUGACCGCUGAAAACAACCAUACAUCGGGUUCCGCGGCCUUGACUAACGCCGCUGUGCCAGCAAUAGAACGAACCGCAAGUAUAGAUAAGCUAAAAACCUGUGACGUCAGUAGGGACAACUAGUAUAA